rnacentral:misc_RNA from 1 species
GAUGAAGAACUUAGCGAAAUGCGAUAAGUAAUGUGAAUUGCAGAAUUCAGUGAAUCAUCGAAUCUUUGAACGCACAUUGCGCCCGGGAGCAUUCUCCCGGGCAUGCCUGUUCGAGCGUCAUUUCAACCCUCGAUUUCCCUUUGGGGAAGUCGGCCGUUGGAGAUCGGCAGCACUGCCGGCUCCCAAAUACAGUGGCGACCCGCCGCGGGGACCCCUGCGUAGUAACUUACACUCGCACCGGAAACCAGACGUGUCACGCCGUAAAACCCCCAACUUUCUGAACGUUGACCUCGGAUCAGGUAGGAAUACCCGCUGAACUUAAGCAUAUCAAUAAGCGGAGGA